rnacentral:lncRNA from 1 species
ACAGUAUCAGUGGGAAACUAAUUUCUGCAGUCAUGGCAGACUGCCUGUUUGUAGCCAUCCUUUGAAAAAGGUUGUGUGUUUCUGCCAUAUUUGGUCUGCCUGUUCCUGCUUCAAACCACUGUGUACAGAGGAAGAUCCUCAUUUGUCCUCUUCUUUUUUUCUGAUGUAACUUCAUAUUUGUUCUUGGCCUGUCUAGAAUCUCCUGACUUUUGCUGGUGGG